UACGUAGGGUGCAAGCGUUAUCCGGAAUUAUUGGGCGUAAAGAGCUCGUAGGCGGUUUGUCGCGUCUGCUGUGAAAACUGGAGGCUCAACCUCCAGCCUGCAGUGGGUACGGGCAGACUAGAGUGCGGUAGGGGAGAUUGGAAUUCCUGGUGUAGCGGUGGAAUGCGCAGAUAUCAGGAGGAACACCGAUGGCGAAGGCAGAUCUCUGGGCCGGUAACUGACCGCUGAGGAGCGAAAGCAUGGGGAGCGAACAGGA
rnacentral:rRNA from 1 species